rnacentral:rRNA from 1 species
AGUCGAGGGGUAACGGAAGUAGCUUGCUACUAGACGACGACCGGCGCACGGGUGAGUAACGCGUAUGUAAUCUGCCUUGUACAGAGGGAUAGCCCAGAGAAAUUUGGAUUAAUACCUCAUAGUAUUACUGGAUCGCAUGAUUUGGUAAUUAAAGCUCCGGCGGUACAAGAUGAACAUGCGUGACAUUAGCUAGUUGGUAAGGUAACGGCUUACCAAGGCUACGAUGUCUAGGGGUUCUGAGAGGAUGAUCCCCCACACUGGUACUGAGACACGGACCAGACUCCUACGGGAGGCAGCAGUGAGGAAUAUUGGUCAAUGGACGCAAGUCUGAACCAGCCAUCCCGCGUGAAGGAUGACUGCCCUAUGGGUUGUAAACUUCUUUUAUAUGCAAAUAAACCUACUUUCGUGAAAGUAGCUGAAGGUAGCAUAUGAAUAAACACCGGCUAACUCCGUGCCAGCAGCCGCGGUAAUACGGAGGGUGUAAGCGUNAUCCGGAUUUAUUGGGUUUAAAGGGUACGUAGGCGGUAAUAUA